CGGGGCGUAGCGCAGCCUGGUAGCGCACCACAAUGGGGUUGUGGGGGUCGCGAGUUCGAUUCUCGCCGCCCCGACCA
rnacentral:tRNA from 3 species